rnacentral:rRNA from 1 species
GAUGAACGCUAGCUACAGGCUUAACACAUGCAAGUCGAGGGGAAACGAUAUUGGAAGCUUGCUUCCGAUAGGCGUCGACCGGCGCACGGGUGAGUAACGCGUAUCCAACCUGCCCACCACUUGGGGAUAACCUUGCGAAAGUAAGACUAAUACCCAAUGACGUCUCUAGAAGACAUCUGAAAGAGAUUAACGAUUUAUCGGUGAUGGAUGGGGAUGCGUCUGAUUAGCUUGUUGGCGGGGUAACGGCCCACCAAGGCUACGAUCAGUAGGGGUUCUGAGAGGAAGGUCCCCCACAUUGGAACUGAGACACGGUCCAAACUCCUACGGGAGGCAGCAGUGAGGAAUAUUGGUCAAUGGGCGAGAGCCUGAACCAGCCAAGUAGCGUGCAGGAUGACGGCCCUAUGGGUUGUAAACUGCUUUUAUAAGGGAAUAAGGUGAGUCUCGUGAGACUUUUUGCAUGUACCUUAUGAAUAAGGACCGGCUAAUUCCGUGCCAGCCGCCGCGGUAA